ensembl:lincRNA 4930412M03Rik RIKEN cDNA 4930412M03 gene
GAAGCGCGGGCGUCUGCCCUCCCGCCGCCCGUUUCGAGGUCGUGGAGAGGAGAGGAAAUGGCCCCGGAGCAACCACGCAGCUGCCUGAACGUCUGGCCCGACCGCGCCUCAGUAGACUUGGGUCCUGGUCUGAGCAGCCGGGCUGGUGCGGGUGUCCUCACUAGGAUAAUGAAUACAGCUCCACUACCUAUACUACCCAAGACGACCCCUCACACGCUCUGCGAGGAAACCGGUCUUCGGACCUGUGCCCCCAACCUGGUGGCCUGCACCAGUGAUAGGGCAAUUUGACUCCUAGUCGUGGGGGCUUGUGAUACUAUCUCUACCUACAGACACCCACUGCCUGUCACUGCACAGUAAACCUUCCUGCUCCACAGGGCUGCCUCCCCACUGGAAUUCCCACCGUGUUCCUGGUUCUGGAAAGUCUGUUUUCCCGGGUGGCCAUGAUACCCUCCCUACUACUCCACUUCUUCCUUGCAGUCACAAGCAGCAGAGUGGAAUGGGAGCUCGACACUGACUAGGCCUUUAACAGUCCUAAGUGCAACAGAAGAGCUGCAGCUUUCAGACAGACAGAGUGAAAGGUUUCUCAUUAGCAACCCUCAACCUGGGGAAGCUUCUCCCGGUCCCGAAGGCUGACCUAGAGCCUUUUCCAGCAGCCAGCCUUGCAAUGCUACCCUUCUCCUCCACCUCUGAAGCUUUGAGAUUGGGCCACCAUGUUGGACUAGGAUUGCAGAAGGCCAUUGCUGGUUCUGCACUUUCCUUUGAGCUUAGACGUCACAACUCAUCAUGCAAUUGUGAUUAUUACAGUCCUUUCUGCAGUGCCAGUGUACCCACCAGGCUGGACACUUCAAAAUGGCAGGGCUAUAUCUGUGUGGCUACUACUACCUUGCAGCAAGGCUUGUUGAGCCCUUACAGUACUAUAGAUGUCUUGGCCAGCUGGUUUGUUGUUAUAGCGACAGUGGACUGCAGUGUUCUGCUGAGACAACCGAGAAUUCCUCCAGACAUGACUCAAACAUCCCCAAGUGACAAAAUUACCUAGAAUUGAUAGCCUCCUCUCUCUCCACAGCCUAUCCUGGCGUCCCUGAAAUAAAUGAAUGCACAGCUCUGCUCUGUCUUAG